rnacentral:rRNA from 1 species
GACGAACGCUGGCGGCGUGCUUAACACAUGCAAGUCGAACGGUGAAGGGGUCUGCUUUUGUGGGCCCUGGAUGAGUGGCGAACGGGUGAGUAACACGUGAGUAACCUGCCCCCUUCUUCUGGAUAACCGCAUGAAAGUGUGGCUAAUACGGGAUAUUCUGGGUCUGUCGCAUGAUGGGUCUGGGAAAGAUUGCGCCUUUGGGCGUUUUUGGUGGGGGAUGGGCUCGCGGCCUAUCAGCUUGUUGGUGGGGUGAUGGCCUACCAAGGCGGUGACGGGUAGCCGGCCUGAGAGGGUGGACGGUCACACUGGGACUGAGACACGGCCCAGACUCCUACGGGAGGCAGCAGUGGGGAAUAUUGCACAAUGGGCGCAAGCCUGAUGCAGCGACGCCGCGUGAGAGAGGGAGGCCUUCGGGUUGUAAACCUCUUUCGCCAGUGAAGCAGGCCUGCUCCUUGUGGGUGGGUUGACGGUAGCUGGAUAAGAAGCGCCGGCUAACUACGUG